rnacentral:rRNA from 1 species
UACGUAGGGAGCAAGCGUUGUCCGGAUUUACUGGGUUUAAAGGGUGCGUAGGCGGAUAGGUAAGUCAGGGGUGAAAUCUUCGAGCUUAACUCGGAAAUUGCCUUUGAUACUAUCUAUCUUGAAUAUUGUGGAGGUAAGCGGAAUAUGUCAUGUAGCGGUGAAAUGCUUAGAGAUGACAUAGAACACCUAUUGCGAAGGCAGCUUACUACGCAUAUAUUGACUCUGAGGCACGAAAGCGUGGGGAUCAAACAGG